rnacentral:rRNA from 1 species
AAAUGAAUUGACGGGGACCCGCACAAGCGGUGGAGCAUGUGGUUUAAUUCGAAGCAACGCGAAGAACCUUACCAAGUCUUGACAUCCCAAUGACAGGGACUUAACCGUCCCCUCUCUACGGAGCAUUGGAGACAGGUGGUGCAUGGUUGUCGUCAGCUCGUGUCGUGAGAUGUUGGGUUAAGUCCCGCAACGAGCGCAACCCUUAUCUUUAGUAGCCAGCAGGUAGAGCUGGGCACUCUAGAGAGACUGUCGGGGAUAACCCGGAGGAAGGUGGGGAUGACGUCAAAUCAUCAUGCCCCUUAUGAUUUGGGCUACACACGUGCUACAAUGGCGUAAACAAAGGGAAGCAACCCUGCGAAGGCAAGCAAAUCCCAAAAAUAACGUCUCAGUUCGGAUUGUAGUCUGCAACUCGACUACAUGAAGCUGGAAUCGCUAGUAAUCGCGGAUCAGAAUGCCGCGGUGAAUACGUUCCCGGGUCUUGUACACACCGCCCGU